rnacentral:rRNA from 1 species
CCAGACUCCUACGGGAGGCAGCAGUGGGGAAUAUUGGACAAUGGGGGGAACCCUGAUCCAGCGACGCCGCGUGAGUGAAGAAGUAUUUCGGUAUGUAAAGCUCUAUCAGCAGGGAAGAAAGAAAUGACGGUACCUGACUAAGAAGCCCCGGCUAACUACGUGCCAGCAGCCGCGGUAAUACGUAGGGGGCAAGCGUUAUCCGGAUUUACUGGGUGUAAAGGGGGCGCAGACGGCGAUGCAAGCCAGGAGUGAAAGCCCGGGGCCCAACCCCGGGACUGCUCUUGGAACUGCGUGGCUGGAGUGCAGGAGGGGCAGGCGGAAUUCCUGGUGUAGCGGUGAAAUGCGUAGAUAUUAGGAGGAACACCAGUGGCGAAGGCGGCCUGCUGGGCUUUUACUGACGCUGAGGCUCGAAAGUGUGGGGGGCAAACAGGAUUAGAUCCCCCCGUA